rnacentral:rRNA from 1 species
UACGUAGGGUGCGAGCGUUAAUCGGAAUUACUGGGCGUAAAGCGUGCGCGGGCGGUCCGCAAAGUCUGAUGUGAAAGCCCCGGGCUCAACCUGGGAACUGCAUUGGGAACUAACGGGCUCGAGUGUGGCAGAGGGGGGUGGAAUUCCCGGUGUAGCGGUGAAAUGCGCAGAUAUCGGGAGGAACACCAGCGGCGAAGGCGGCACUCUGGGCUGGUACUGACGCUGAGGAGCGAAAGCGUGGGUAGCAAACAGG